rnacentral:misc_RNA from 1 species
GAUGAAGAACGUAGCGAAAUGCGAUAAGUAAUGUGAAUUGCAGAAUUCAGUGAAUCAUCGAAUCUUUGAACGCAUCUUGCGCUCCUUGGUAUUCUGAGGAGCAUGCCUGUUUGAGUGUCAUUUCAAGUUCUCAACCACAUCAAUUUCAAUGUGGCUUGGAUGGUGGGGGUUCUUUUUGCAGGCUUCUGUAAAUAUGAAGUCGGCUCCCCUGAAAUGUAUUAGUGGUAUCUGAGCUACUACAGGUGUGAUAACUAUCUAUGCCUUGGUACGCUACAUGAAACAGAUUGCGCCGCUUCUAACAAGUGGGAAACACAAUUUUGAUGAAUUUGACCUCAAAUCAGGUAGGACUACCCGCUGAACUUAAGCAUAUCAAUAAGCGGAGGA